CCUACGGGAGGCAGCAGUGGGGAAUCUUGCGCAAUGGGCGAAAGCCUGACGCAGCGACGCCGCGUGAGUGAUGAAGGCCUUCGGGUUGUAAAGCUCUGUGGAGGGGGACGAAUAAGUCGGCGCGAACAGCUCCGAUGAUGACGGUACCCCUUUAGCAAGCACCGGCUAACUCUGUGCCAGCAGCCGCGGUAAGACAGAGGGUGCAAACGUUGUUCGGAAUUACUGGGCGUAAAGCGCGUGUAGGCGGCUCUGAUAAGUGAGGUGUGAAAGCCCUGGGCUCAACCCAGGAAGUGCACUUCAAACUAUCGAGCUUGAAUGCUGGAGAGGAAAGCGGAAUUCUCGGUGUAGAGGUGAAAUUCGUAGAUAUCGAGAGGAACACCCGUGGCGAAGGCGGCUUUCUGGACAGCGAUUGACGCUGAGACGCGAAAGCCUGGGGAGCAAACAGGAUUAGAUACCCUGGUAGUCCACGCCGUAAACGAUGGGUGCUAGGUGUCGCGGGCAUUGACCCCUGCGGUGCCGUAGCUAACGCAUUAAGCACCCCGCCUGGGGAGUACGGUCGCAAGACUAAAACUCAAAGGAAUUGACGG
rnacentral:rRNA from 1 species